rnacentral:rRNA from 1 species
GAUGAACGCUGGCGGCGUGCUUAACACAUGCAAGUCGAACGAUGAAGCCCAGCUUGCUGGGUGGAUUAGUGGCGAACGGGUGAGUAACACGUGAGUAACCUGCCCUUAACUCUGGGAUAAGCCUGGGAAACUGGGUCUAAUACCGGAUAGGAGCGUCCACCGCAUGGUGGGUGUUGGAAAGAUUUAUCGGUUUUGGAUGGACUCGCGGCCUAUCAGCUUGUUGGUGAGGUAAUGGCUCACCAAGGCGACGACGGGUAGCCGGCCUGAGAGAGUGACCGGCCACACUGGGACUGAGACACGGCCCAGACUCCUACGGGAGGCAGCAGUGGGGAAUAUUGCACAAUGGGCGCAAGCCUGAUGCAGCGACGCCGCGUGAGGGAUGACGGCCUUCGGGUUGUAAACCUCUUUCAGUAGGGAAGAAGCGAAAGUGACGGUACCUGCAGAAGAAACACCGGCUAACUACGU